GUGCAUCUAUUUGACAAACCUGAGCAGUUACCAUCUACUGCAAAAGUUUCCACUACAGAUGCUAGAAAAAGAGUGUCCUCACAUUUUCUGUCUGUCUGAUUGUGGCAGCCAAGAAUGAAAAAGAGGAAUAGAAGA
rnacentral:snoRNA from 1 species